CGCCAGUUUUGUGUAAAGUGCAAAUUCAAUUGAAUGAAACGUUAUAGAAGUCUGUUUUGCAGUGUAAUGCAAAUUUCAAGUAAAAGAAAUCCGACCUGUCAUGGAGGACGAUGAGACGAAAAAAACUAAAUCAAGAUGAAAAACCUACUGCUACUCCAAAAUCAAGACAGAGGUAAAGGUAAAGUGCACGACGUCGACUGGUCAACGCCCAAAUAAACCUCUUCGAAAAGAUUGAUUCCUUGACAUGACGACAGAUUGUUAGCCUGAUAGGUGGCAACAGCUACUGGUACUCAUUCAGUGACUCCGAGCUAUAGACAGGGUGUACAUGCACCUGUUUGCACAUGCUGGGUUGAGUUAAAUUACCCAUCCAUGAUGUACGACUAGAGUGAUGGAGUGAAUGUCGAGCAGGGAGGGACCAGGCUGUUGUCCCCGACUCUGUCAUGCUGGUCGCAGUACUCAAGUUCCCGUUUAGGAUGAACUGGUACCCACACUGAUUGAUCAGAAAGUCUCCCCAAUCACUUGGCCCAAUGCUUGUUAUUUUUACAAUUUCAGAUCAAUUGCCGAAGUUGUUUUGGUGCUUCCCCUCCUGACAUUGCUCAGUUUUGUCAUGCUUCUUGCCACCAUCAUAUUAUUCACCAAACCUGUCUGGUCAAAUUAUGAAGUAAGUUCUCUCAGCCCCUGAAUGACCAUCAUGUGAUGUUGUGGGACACAUUCUGUGGAUUCGACUGUGAUAUAACGCCAGCUGAUGUGACUGUCAACACUUCACUUUUUGUUUUAUGACCACGGUUUCCAAAGCUUAGAGUUGCCAUGGUUACCAUACAUACAGUAACCGUAGUUACCACGCUUACAUUUUUUAAUUUCCCAAAUUAAGUCUCUAAACCAUUUUGUCUCUACAUACUUCUGCUGUAGCCCUUUAAAGGGACAAUAUAGGCAGCAGCUAGGCAGGCAAGAUGAAGUUACAAGAAGUCACCAAUAGGGGUCUCUCACAUAUCACAGUACCUCGAAAUGAUUCUCGCUUGUAUGAGUCACCUGGAGAUGGCCAAUUAGCCCCUCUGCUCCUGCCUAUAGUCCUCCUUUAAAUCUUGAAUGUCAAAAAAAUUCAAAAAUAAUCAAAUUUUGAAUGUACUGUUAUUUAUUAGUGAGUAGUUGAGUUUUUGCAUGAUAUGAUAACCACUCGGAGCAUAUUAGAGCCUAUUUUUUGGGUUUGUUUAGGCCUUCAUAUAUUUUUUUAGGGCAGCAUACUUUGUGCACUUUUUCUCCACUUGGUUCAUUUUUCUGUACCUUUGUAGAAGUGUGGUCUUUUGGUAUUGUCAGCAACUGGCCUAUCCCCCCCUACAUCUUUCCUUUAAGAUCUUGAUCUUUAGGACAGUAUUACAUAAGAGUUACCCGAUCGUCCCCAAGUUCUUGAUUAUGUAAGAUCAGAUCAGAGGUUGACUUUACGAGGUUACGCUCAGAUAGAUGGUGCCACUUGAAGCAGAUCUGCAGGUGUAGUGAUAUGAAUACUGCUGGUAUUUUGUACGAAAUUCCAAGUCAACUAAUUAUACGGCGUGCAGAAUAUGUCAAUAAAAAACAGAUUGAACACCAAGAACAAAUUUUCAUGUAUGUUGCCAUUGGGGUAGGCAUAAUGCAUAUUGUUUAAAAAUGACCACAACCCAAUCCUGUUGGAAAAGCAUGUUGACUAUUGACUGUUAUGUACUAGCAUAAUACCCGUGGCGCGGGUUGUUUUAGGGUGUUGGCCUACUGUGAGGUUGGGGCAUUUGGACGAAAUGAAAUGAUAUGUCUGGGGGUUGUGAUGUUGUCUAAACUCCACCACUCUUCAAAGUGGUCUCGAGUUAUUUUGACGAACUAUUUCGCGAAUGGAGAAGAGGCAAUGGCGUGAAGUUACGAACUUGGUACAACAAAUGCCGCGAGCAUAGUGGGUGGCAGCACCAGACAGAGGAAGUAGUUCGCCUAGGGUUUUUUCGACACCCUCCGCACGGACUCCACUCGUUCAAGAAAACACUCACUUACUUGUUAAUCUGCAGUGGUUAGCCUGUUUUUAUUGCAGUAAAGAAAUGUUAAUCGGGAUUUUAUAUUAUAUUUGCCCCGGGUAUUCAUAUAGGGAGCUGUGCGCUACUUUGCGCCCAGUGCUUUGGUCAGGUGAGGCGGUUUUGUUAUUAUGUGACGUGUAUCACGUGAUGAAUUCCUAUCAUACGGUACUUCGAAAAAUUAAGAGUGAUUAACAAUGUAAGGUGAAAGAGUACGACCAAAAUAAAGGGGGGAAAUUGUGGAGAUGGAUGAAUGUUUUAAACAUAUAGUGGCCCCAAUACUUUCCCGGCUUAUUUUCAUAUAAUCCCACACUUUUGUUUUAAUAGAUGGUCCCAUAUGCAAAUUCAGACCUGCUGGAAUGGCCCCUUAUGUUAAUGAGUAUGCCCAUAUAUAGAAAGAACAAAAAAAGCUAUUUCUCCGAGAUCGCUGCAAAGUUUACCCAUUUAACCCGGCGAGGACCAUCUCCAUAUCAACCACGACUUUAAGGAAAAGUUUCGAGCUCAUCCGAUCUGAACUGACGGAGGCGAUGUGUGACAAACUAUUUCAGCUCUACGUCCAUUGUUGUAGUGAUUUUACAUAUUUCAUGGACAUUGCACCAUUCCCUCCUUGUGCUUGACACAAACAUGCAUUGUUAGGCUGGGAUUACAUACUAAGAGUUGACGUUGUCACUUGUGACAAACAGGCUACAUUAGAUUCACAAGAGCCAGUUAUGCUAGCAGGGCUAUUAUUUUGCUUCAGCCCUGGGUAGUCAACUAUUUUGGAUCUGCAAAGAUAUUUGAAUAAUAAAGUAUCAUAUUAACAAGAAAAUUCACAAGAGAAGUUGCGCACCCUUUGGACAGCUCCCGCUUUGACUUCAUCUCCGAGGUCGAAUUACAGUUCCCUGGUGUAUAUACAGUAGAACCUCUCUAUUGAGGACAUCCCUGGGACUGAUAAUGGCUGUCCUUAAUAGAGAGGUGUCCUGAUUAGAGAGGUCAAACUGAAUGGGAAACAACAUUUUGGGACCAAAGCUAGUGUCCUUAAUAAAGAGUGUUCGUUAAGGGAGGUUCCACUAUAUUUGAUUUAAUUCGAGAUGAAACGAAAGAGUGAAAGAAUCCAUUUCGCCCGUCUAAUAUGCACCAGAACUCUAGUCACCUUUGACCUGUGAGGCCUCCGAACACUAUCUUUCCCAAUUUUGGAGUUUGACAUGGAGUCACUAUAGUUUUACCUUAAUAGUUCACAAACGUUUACAUGUUGAUAUUCCACCUGAAUCUUUACAAUAAUAUUAUGAAUUUCUAAUUGGACCUGUUAAGACAUAUAUAACUUGCAGAAUGAAGUUAUUAUCAAAGUUGUAGGAACGGGCUCUGAAAAUUUGUCGGUUAACGGUAGUUUAGUCUGGUACAGUCAGCCAGUGCCUGAGUGCAUCUUGCUUGGACACGGAACGUGCUAUGUUUACUCCACGAUGACUAAAAUGAAUUGCCUGGGCCGACCUCUGUAUCCUUUGACAUGUUUGAGUUGAUUGAAUUACAGACUUGCACAAGAUUUAGUCGAUUUUUAGCAUUAAUCACUUUUUGACUCUUUACCAAUUGUUAUAAAUAUACCUUUAAUUGAGUGUACCGCAUUGCAUGCACCUGUGAAUUUAUGAAUAAAGUAUUUUAA